rnacentral:rRNA from 1 species
CCUACGGGUGGCAGCAGUGAGGAAUAUUGGUCAAUGGGCGAGCGCCUGCACCAGCCAAGUCGCGUGAAGGAUGAAGGAUCUAUGGUUUGUAAACUUCUUUUAUAUGGGAAUAAAAUGUUCAAUGUGCGGGAUUUUGUAUGUACCUUAUGAAUAAGGAUCGGCUAACUCCGUGCCUGCAGCCGCGGUAAUACGGAGGAUCCGAGCGUUAUCCGGAUUUAUUGGGUGUAAAGGGAGCGUAGGGGGAUUGUUAAGUCAGUUGUGAAAGUUUUCGGCUUAACCGUAAAAUUGCAGUUGAAACUGGCAGACUUGAGUGCAGUAGAGGUGAGCGGAAUUCGUGGUGUAGCGGUGAAAUGCUUAGAUAUCAGGAAGAACACCAGUGGCGAAGGCAGUUCACUGGACUGUAACUGACACUGAGGUUCGAAAGUGUGGGUAGCAAACAGGAUUAGAUACCCUUGUAGUC